rnacentral:rRNA from 1 species
UUAUGUGAUCGUCUCUCGCAUAUCAAUAAGCGGAGGAAAAGAAACUAACAAGGAUUCCCCUAGUAACGGCGAGUGAAGCGGGAAGAGCUCAAAUUUGAAAUCUUAAAGGGUUUCCCUUUACGAAUUGUAGUUUAAGGAAGUGUUUUCUGUUGAGGUUUUGGUAAAAGUUCUUUGGAAUAGGACAUCAUAGAGGGUGAGAAUCCCGUAUUUGACCUUUACUUUCAACUUUGUGAUACACUUUCAAAGAGUCGGAUUGUUUGGGAAUGCAGUCCAAAAUGGGUGGUAAAUUUCAUCUAAAGCUAAAUAUUGGCGAGAGACCGAUAGCGAACAAGUACCGUGAGGGAAAGAUGAAAAGAACUUUGAAAAGAGAGUUAAACAGUACGUGAAAUUGUCAAAAGGGAAGCGUUUGACACCAGUGUUGUUUUUCUGAAAAUCAAUUAAAGAACUGUUUAUGCUAAGCUGUUUAGACUUUAUCAGCUAUCUGUUUAGUUUUGAGCUUUUCUUUAAUGCACUUUUCAGUUAACAAGUCAACAUCAAUUUCUUUUGCUGUAAAAAAGCUUGAGGAAGGUGGCUUGAGAUUCGUCUUAAGUGUUUAUAGCCUCUUGCCUAUGCAGUCGGAGAGAUUGAGGUCUGCAGCGUAGAUCCUUCGGGGCUAAAUGCAUUUGUGCUAAGUUAUAGCAUUUUAUAGACAACUUGUUGACUAUGAUUUGUCUUGUAGCUUACUCGCUUAUGUUAUUUUACCUACGCUUAGGAUGUUGAAGACUCUACAGAGAUA